UUGUCCCCUGGCGAUGGAUUCCGCCGGAGGUCGCGACCUCGAACCGCCGCACGGCUGAUGACUCCUGGACGCUC
rnacentral:ncRNA from 2 species